UGUUACCACCUGAAGCGUCUCCUGUUUCAUUGGGGCUGCGCUGGUCAGAGAUGACUCUGUACAUGGCACGUAUGUGAAAGGAUAAAGAGUCACAGAAAGAUUGAUCCGGUUUUCACCGAGUGUCCGGAAAAUCAGCUGCACAGGUUCCUGGUGUCCAGAACUGGAUGGCAUACACAGAAAAGGCAGUGAGGAUGUAUUUCUGUUGAAGGUGGACAAUACGUACACUACAUGUACACGGGCAAGAGUAUGGUACAAUGGCCUCACAUAUAAAGAAAAAGCGUUUUUUUAAAAACCCCAAAUAGCUAAGGUAUCUUCUUCUCCCAUGCAAAUAAAGCACUGGGACAUUUGUCCUAUUGGAAAUCACUUGGUGCCAUGACAGAUAUAUAUGCUUUCGUAUAGAAAGACUUGUUUGA